CAGCUUAUAGUAAUCUGGCUUAUUAAUCUAGAUUAUAAUAAUCAUAAGUUGAAACAAAAAGGGCCUUCAUCCCUACCUAAGGCUCAAUACAGUAUCACGUUAUGCAGUAUUUAUCCGCUCCGCUUUCAUCCCUACCUAAGGCUCAAUACAGUAUCACGUUAUGCAGUAUUUAUCCGCUCCGCUUUCAUCCCUACCUAAGGCUCAAUACAGUAUCACGUUAUGCAGUAUUUUUCUCUCGCUAUGCUAUUUAAUUUCACUUACGUGUGGCUUCCAAUGUUUUUUUUUCAUUAUUGUGUCACGUCAGCUCCAUAUCAGUCAAAGCCGUAUUCAAUCCUGCCUUAGAACUAUAUUAGCAUCCGUUUUGAAAUACUCGGUUUUACGAUUUAGGAUGUAAUUUAAACUCAUGGGGUGUUUAGAU
rnacentral:lncRNA from 1 species